CCGGCCGGCCGCCGCCAGCGGCGCCUCGUUGAGAGUUCACGGCCCCCACCCUCGGGCGCGCUCCCCAGCCGAGGGCCGUCGCGCUGCGGGUCUCCGCACAGCCUUUUUCAAAGGACAGCCGGAGAUCCGUCGUCUUUGACGUCUUGUCUGCUCCUAAGUCUCUGAAGUGGGCGUGGGCGCCGCGAGCGUCCCCGUGCCCCGCGCCCCUUGCCCUGCCCAGUGCUUUGGCUUUGCUUGGCUUCGCUCCAGGACCCUCCUCCCAAACUGAUGAUCAGGUUUUUCUCCCCGCGUGCUGAUUUACCCUAUUUGCUGGUACCGUAUGAAAUCAUCUUUAAAUCACUUUAUCUUGCCCUUUCAGAAGCCUCGACUUCGAGAGACAAGGCCUAAGCCCACGAAACAUUAAAUCAUAAGAAUAUCACAGGGCAGUUAGUUUCCAGGAUCUUUUAAAAAGGUCUGAUUAGCCCAUGCCUCUGAUCCCAGCACUCGGGAGCCAGAGGCAGGUGGAUCUCUGUGAAUUUAAGGCCAGCCUGGUCUACAUAGAGUCACUCAGUGACACCAUCUUAAGGAUGUGGCCUGUGACAGAGCUGGGCCAGUGCCAAGGAGUCGUUUGGAUGGACGGUGGCAGCGGCCGGGGUACCCUUCAUCAGUGUGACUAGAGUGUGUCUAACAGAGGAGCUUACCAAGAGGAGGCUUUGGGUUGGCGUCUGAAGCCCUGAGGAGCCUCUCACGCUUGAGUGAGGCAGAGUUGACAGAAGUCAAUAAACAGGCAAAGCAUCUCUAUUUAAAAACACUGCUCAGUAGCUGUGUCUCAAGCACCCAGGGUUUGUCCGUAUGAGGCUAAGUAGGCAAAGUCCCCGUGAGCGUGCACUGGUCCCUAUUCUUUGGUGACUUGCAAUCCAGUGGAGGAGGCUGAUGCUAGUCGUAGAACAGAGGCAAAGCCAAAUUACACUGUGGUGGUUGUGAAAGGAAAAGGUACAAAUACACUAAACCCACAGUAGCUUGUAAAAUUACAGUAGGGAAUGCCGAUCUGGAGCCCUGUAAGAAGACUUUGGCCAUUGUCUAACAUGGCUUAACAAGAACCAUGGUGAACAAAGGCUAAAGAGGAGUCACCAAAACAGUGUGUGUGCCUUCAUUUUGCCCUAAUUAGAAAGGAGGAAAUAACACUGCCGUGAUGGUGCUAAAAAGGACUAUGACUUAGACCAAGCAAGACAGAAGAUGGUCUAUUUAUCCAGGGAUCAGGGGUUCAAAGGGAGAAUGGUCCAACAGGACAAUGUGAGGGUCAGGAUUGAAGAGGAAAUUUUGUUCAUAAUCCCAUAUGUUUGCAUGUAAUAAAAGUCAUACCAUUAAUAAAUGAA